GUGCUGGCCUGUUACGAGAUUCCUGGGUUCCUUCCAGGCCUCCUACUCCCCCUCUCGAUCCGGACUCUCCCUCGUCUCGCCCUCUCCAACGCCGCCGGCCGCCGCCUCUCCCCCGUCCCUCUCUCGUCUCUCCCUCUCCGAUGGCGUGGUAGACCUAGCGGAGAGGGGACGGCAGCGGGGAGGCACGAGCGGCUGCGGCGGCUUCUACGGCGGGUUAGCAGUGGGCUAGCAGCGGCUGCGGCGGUGCAGAGAGGUAACAAUCAUGAAGGUCAAAAUUCUUCAGUGGCAUGCGGUGGCUUCUUGGACAUGGGACGCACAGGAUGAGACAUGUGGCAUAUGCAGGAUGGCUUUUGACGGCUGCUGCCCUGACUGUAAGUUCCCUGGUGAUGAGUGCCCAAUCAUUUGGGGUGCCUGCAACCAUGCUUUCCAUCUUCACUGCAUACUCAAGUGGGUCAAUUCUCAAACAUCAACCGCCCUUUGCCCUAUGUGCCGUAGGGAGUGGCAGUUCAAGGGCUAAGGACAUCUCAAACUGUGUCAGUACCAAGCAUUUUCAUAUCUCAUAGAGAACUAGAAUGGAUCUUUAACAGGAAUGUAGUUGUGUUGUCUUGUAAGUGGUUGUCAUACUUUCUGGAAAUCAGGAUGAUUGGCAUCUUUUAAGCGAAACUGUGAGACAUUGAGCCACAGCUGUUGUGCCUUUUCAAGUUGUGACCAUGCAAAUGCAAUGAUUGACUUUGAAAGGUCUAAGCAGCCUGAGAUUGUGGCAUUUUUUCUUGUUCCACUGUUUACCUGCAGAUGGUCACCCAUGUAGUAAUUAAAUUCUGGUUGGAUAUACUGUAGGUAUAACAACUAGCACUUUAGCAGGCAAAUAGCUUGUUCUGCUAGACUUUAUAUUCAUUUUAACAGUGAC
rnacentral:rRNA from 1 species